AAAUGCAAGAAGAGUUUGAACCUUAAAAGAUAGAAAUUAAUAAAACUAUUUUUUAAAUAGAGAGAAAGAAAUAUGGUUGAAGUUCUCAAGUUUGUUUAUAUUAUGAUUAUCUUUCUUUAUGUAUUGUGUGCGUCAUUCUACAACGGAAGAAAUUCCAUGUGUUGGAAGGAUACCGAUUGUUUAAAUCAUAUGUGCCUGCCACCAAAGAUAGUGAAGUACUCCAAUAAAAUAUGUGUGUGUGUUAAAGUGACCUCGCUACUUGAUUAAGAAAUUUUUAUGAACUAUACCGUAGUUAUUAGAUUGACAUAUCAUAAUUUUUUUUCUUUUUCUUUUAUAUUUCACAAAUUAUGUAUUAUGCUUAAUAUUAUUUACACUGUGUUCUUCUAUUAAAUUAAAGGGUUAAUAGACAUUUGCCCCCCUGCCAUAUAGGCGAGAUUCGGUUUACCCCCCUAUUAAUUUUUUUUUUUGGAUUGCCCCUUUGAAAUAUGAAAAGCUCUAUGAUUUACCCCUCUAGGACCUCCCUGUAACCUUGUUUUUUUUAUUUACCCACCUGAUUUUUCACUAUUUUUUACACGCUUAGGGGGUACCCUAAAAAUACAGGGGGAUAAUCCAAAAAAAAAAUUAAUAGGGGGAUAAACCGAAACACGCCUAUAUAGCGGGGGGCAAAUGUCUAUUAACCCUAAAUUAAAUUCAUUUUUACCUUCUAUCAGAAUAUCUUUAAUAUUUAAAUUGAAAAAUAAUUUAUAUUA